CCAUAACUAUUCCAUGAUUGUAUGAAUAGCUGACAAAUUAUUUAGAAAUGAUCUGACAAAUUAUUUAGAAAUGAUAAGUACAUCAUAAAUGUCACUUAAAAAUAUUUAAUAUCAUCUAACAUGUAAUAUGUUGACAUUUAUGGAAUGAGGUCUUUAUCUUUCACAAGGUAAAAUUUAAAUAAAAUCAAAGUUAAAAGGAGUAGUUCAAGAUUAAAAUUUUCUACUCUAAAGGAAGAAGUC
rnacentral:lncRNA from 1 species